rnacentral:rRNA from 1 species
CUAGCUGUAAACGAUGGAUACUAGGCGUUGAGAGUAUCGACCCUCUCAGUGUCGUAGCUAACGCGUUAAGUAUCCCGCCUGGGGAGUACGCGCGCAAGCGUGAAACUCAAAGGAAUUGACGGGGGCCCGCACAAGCGGUGGAGUAUAUGGUUUAAUUCGAUGCAACGCGAAGAACCUUACCAGGGCUUGACAUGUCCGGAACCCUGCCCAAAGGCGGGGGUGCCUACGGGAACCGGAACACAGGUGGUGC